rnacentral:rRNA from 1 species
AUUAAACGCUGGCGGCAUGCCUUACACAUGCAAGUCGAACGGUAGCGCGGGGCAACCUGGCGACGAGUGGCGAACGGGUGAGUAAAGCAUCGGAACGUGCCCUGGAAUGGGGGAUAACGUAGCGAAAGUUACGCUAAUACCGCAUAUUCUGUGAGCAGGAAAGCAGGGGAUCGCAAGACCUUGCGUUCUGGGAGCGGCCGAUGUCGGAUUAGCUAGUUGGUGGGGUAAAAGCCUACCAAGGCGACGAUCCGUAGCGGGUCUGAGAGGAUGAUCCGCACACUGGGACUGAGACACGGCCCAGACUCCUACGGGAGGCAGCAGUGGGGAAUUUUGGACAAUGGGCGGAAGCCUGAUCCAGCCAUGCCGCGUGAGUGAAGAAGGCCUCGGUUGUAAAGGCUACUUUCCGGUUGGGGGAAGGAAAAGUUAGUACACGGGUUAAGU